AAGAAUGUAUCCGAGAGUAACGAAAAAAUUGAGAUUUUUGUAAUUGGUGGAACUUCCGAAUAUGAUGUAAUUAACCCCAAAUAUAUGAGAUUUAUGUACUUUAUACUAUACUUUAUCUGUAAGUUUUAACCAAAAUUUUGAAGUCUAUAGUACAACCUCAAUUUUAUUUAUUUUUAAAGUUGUAAUCUUAACCCUCCCACC
rnacentral:lncRNA from 1 species